CAGCAGCCACGGUAAUACGUAGGGUGCGAGCGUUAAUCGGAAUUACUGGGCGUAAAGCGUGCGCAGGCGGUUCGUUAAGACAGAUGUGAAAUCCCCGGGCUUAACCUGGGAACUGCAUUUGUGACUGGCGAGCUAGAGUAUGGCAGAGGGGGGUAGAAUUCCACGUGUAGCAGUGAAAUGCGUAGAGAUGUGGAGGAAUACCGAUGGCGAAGGCAGCCCCCUGGGCCAAUACCGACGCUCAUGCACGAAAGCGUGGGGAGCAAACAGGAUUAGAUACCCGCGUAGUCCCUGUCUCUUAUAC
rnacentral:rRNA from 1 species